UAAGAUGUACCUCCACAUUUCCCAAAAUGGUACAUGGGGAUCCAUGUACCACUUCAGGGAACCCUGAAGCUACAAGAUAAACAUUACAUACCCUCCCAAUGUGGACAGAUCAUAUAAAAUAAUGAACGUGAUGAGGUAAACAUUAAAAAAAAUAUUUUUUUUAAUGUUUAUUUUAUUUUUAAGAGACAGAGAAGGAGUGGUGCAGGGUCAGAGAGAGGAGACACAGGCUCCAGGCUCUAAGCUGUCAGCACAGAGCCCGACGUGGGGCUUGAACUCAUGAACCGUGAGAUCACGGGCUGAGCCGAAGUUGGACGCUUAACCAACUGAGACACCCAGGUGCCCCGAGUUACCCUCUGUCAACCAUGGUCUGGAAGCAGAUGGUCUUCCUUCUGAUGAAUCACCAGAAGGUCAAUAGUAGUCUAAAGCUAUGUCAUGUUUACAUCAUUCACCUCCCAUCUCAUCAUGUAGCCAUUUUAUCAUCUCACAUCAUCAUAAGAAAGUUUUAAAAGAAAAAAUUUUAAAGCAACAAGAUGUCACAAAACUCUCUCUUGCUGGCUUUGAUUAAGCUGCUAUACUGGAGAGGACCACAUGGCAAAGAACUGAGGGUAGCCUUUGGCCAACAGGCAGCAAGGACUGAGGCCCCAAGUCUAAUAGUUCUGGAGGAACUGAAUCUUGCCAACCACUGAAUGAGCUUGGAAGCAAAUCUCGCCCAAAUGACCUUUGAGAUGAGAGAUUGAGAGGCCCUGAAGCUGAGGACCCAGCUACGCCUACCUGGAUUCCUGACCCACAGAAAACGUGAGUUAGUAAGUGUGUGCUGUUUUAAACCUCUAAGUUUUGCGGUAAUUUGUCACACAGCAAUAAAUAACUAAUACACUAUCUAUCCCCCAAUUUCCACAGUGUCUUACUCUCUCUUGUACUCCUUGCUCCAGCACAGUGAUCUUAUGAUAGACUAAAGCCUGUAAAGCUAUACAGAUCUGGCCCAGAUCCUGUAUAGAUAGCAUUUCAGUGUAUUUCCGACUAAAUUCAUUAAUGAAUGACAGCUUAAUAUUCUAAGGGAAUAAAUUCUAAGGGGUCAAAUUCUAAGGGAAAAGAGAACAGUUUAUUGAUCAAUUGCUCAUAUUUUCAAAAUGUCAGAGACGAACUGAACAAAAUUCAUUAUUUUCUCUCCACCCUUGCCCUUGUUCACCACUAAUCCAAAAGCAAAGUUAAAGUCUCAUAAAAGUCGGGGUGUCUGGGUGGCUCAGUCGGUAUCACAUGUGACUCUUAUCCUUGGGUCUUGAGUUGAAGCUCCUCCAUGUUGGAUAUAGAGCCCACUUAAAAAAAAUUAAUUAAUUUAAGAAAAAGUCUCAUAAGGGGCGCCUGGGUGGUUCAGUAGGUUAAGCGUUGGACUUCGCUCUCAGGUCAUGAUCUCACCACGGUUUGUGAGUUCAAGCCCCACGCUGGGCUCUCUGAUACCGGCGUGGAGCCUUCUUCGGAUCCUCUGUCCCCUUCUCUCUCUGCCCCUCCCCUGCUCUUCCUCUGUCUCUCUCAAAAAUGAAUAAACAUUAAAAAAAUUUUUUUUAAGUUUCAUAAAACUCAUUAUUCCAAAACCAAAAACUUUCCACA